CGGGUGAGUAAUACAUCGGAACGUGCCCAAUAGUGGGGGAUAGCCCGGCGAAAGCCGGAUUAAUACCGCAUACGACCUAUGGGUGAAAGCGGGGGAUCGCAAGACCUCGCGCUAUUGGAGCGGCCGAUGUCGGAUUAGCUUGUUGGUGAGGUAAAAGCUCACCAAGGCGACGAUCCGUAGCUGGUCUGAGAGGACGACCAGCCACACUGGGACUGAGACACGGCCCAG
rnacentral:rRNA from 1 species